CUCCCUCCCUGGCAAAGGUUUAACCGAAAGCGUCGUGUUCCAGGCCACAGUACGUGACUGAGAAGACAAUCAGCAGAAAGCGACCUACGUUGGACACACAGCUGGCCCAUUUAAAUUGAGAUACUACAAUCACACAAGCUCGUACAUGAUUCCGGAACAUAAACAUUCAACCGAACUGAGUAAAUAUAUUUGGCAGUUGAAACAAUCCAACAUAGAAUAUUCUAUCCCCUGGAAAAUUUUAAAGAAAUGCAAGGCGUACUCACACAAAACAAAACGUUGUAAAUUAUGCUUGCACGAAAAGUUUAUUAUAACUUACUGUCCCAAAUUAAGCUCUUUGAACUCAACAAACGAACUAAUAUCCGCAUGUAGGCACAGGAAAAAAUUCCUGCUCUGCAGCCAAUAGCUCAUUUACAGACAUAUAGGCUAUUUACGC